rnacentral:rRNA from 1 species
AGGACGAACGCUGGCGGCGUGCCUAACACAUGCAAGUCGAACGAGGUCCAUGCAGUGGCAACACUGCGGAAGACCUAGUGGCGAACGGGUGAGUAACACGUGAGGAACCCUGCCCCGAAGACCGGGAUAACCCUCCGAAAGGAGAGCUAAUACCGGAUACCCCCACCUGGUCGCAUGGCCGGGUGAGGAAAUGGAUUCCGCUUCGGGAGGGCCUCGCGGCCUAUCAGCUAGUUGGUGAGGUAACGGCUCACCAAGGCAUCGACGGGUAGCUGGUCUGGGAGGACGAUCAGCCACACUGGGACUGAGACACGACCCAGACUCCUACGGGAGGCAGCAGUGGGGAAUCUUAGACAAUGGGCGCAAGCCUGAUCUAGCCAUGCCGCGUGAGCGAUGAAGGCCUUAGGGUUGUAAAGCUCUUUCGUGGGGGAAGAUAAUGACUGUACCCCAAGAAGAAGCCCCGGCUAACUCCGUG